GAUGAAGAACGUAGCGAAAUGCGAUACGUAAUGUGAAUUGCAGAAUUCAGUGAAUCAUCGAAUCUUUGAACGCAUAUUGCGCUCUCUGGUAUUCCGGAGAGCAUGCUUGUUUGAGUAUCAGUAAACACCUCAACUUCCAUAUCUUUUAUGAAAUGGGAGUUGGACUUGAGUGAUCCCAACGCUUUUCCUCACCGAAAAGUGGCGGGUUACUUGAAAUGCAGGUGCAGCUGGACUUUUCUCUGAGCUAUAAGCAUAUCUAUUUAGUCUGCCUAAAAAACAGAUUAUUACCUUUGCUGCAGCUAACAUAAAGGAGAUUAGUUCUUGUGCUGACUGAUGCAGGAUUCACAAAGACAGGCUUCGGCCGACUUUGUAAACUCGAUCUCAAAUCAAGUAAGACUACCCGCUGAACUUAAGCAUAUCAAUAAGCGGAGGA
rnacentral:misc_RNA from 1 species